rnacentral:snoRNA from 1 species
UGGCAAUUAUGCUAAAUUUAAGGCUUGUUUCUCAAAACAUUCGCAGUUGCUGCCUAAGAGCUUGUGCCUCGCCAGGCUUGAGAGUUGAUUCCUUCCUUGGAUGUCUGAGCCU